rnacentral:rRNA from 1 species
GACGGAGGAUGCAAGCGUUAUCCGGAAUGAUUGGGCGUAAAGCGUCCGCAGGUGGCAGUUCAAGUCUGCUGUCAAAGACCGGGGCUUAACUUCGGAAAGGCAGUGGAAACUGAACAGCUAGAGUAUGGUAGGGGCAGAGGGAAUUCCUGGUGUAGCGGUGAAAUGCGUAGAGAUCAGGAAGAACAUCGGUGGCGAAGGCGCUCUGCUGGACCAUAACUGACACUGAGGGACGAAAGCUAGGGGAGCGAAAGGG